rnacentral:rRNA from 1 species
UACGGAGGAUGCAAGCGUUAUCCGGAAUCAUUGGGCGUAAAGCGUCCGCAGGUGGCGUAUCAAGUCUGCUGUCAAAGACAGAAGCUCAACUUCUGGCAGGCAGUGGAAACUGGUAAGCUAGAGUACGGUAGGGGUUGAGGGAAUUCCCAGUGUAGCGGUGAAAUGCGUAGAUAUUGGGAAGAACACCAGUGGCGAAGGCGCUCAGCUGGGCCGUAACUGACACUGAGGGACGAAAGCUAGGGG